GCUUCCCUUCACGAGGGGGACGCUCCUGCCCUGCCUGGCCUCCCCUUCCACCCACCUGCCCGACACAGGCUGCAGGCUGAGGGCUGCCGCAUAGCCCGCUCUGCGCUGGGACUGCAGCAGGGUCAGGGUCUACACUGCAGGGACCGCCCCACACGCCGCAGCAGCCCCGAGACGGCUCCCGCCCGCCUCCUCUCCUCCUCCUCCUCCUGCCAGUCCGGCCCUCGGCGCCUCCCCACCCGGCCAGCUCAGCUGUCCCUGCGCUGAGCUACCGACGCUCAAGGUUAGCAGGCCUUAACCCCUGCGUCCCCGCAGCCACACCCGCUGGGAGGAGGGGCCAACCGCAGCCCCCCAGCACUGCCAGCAGCCUUGGCACACAGCCUCUCUCCCAGCCUCCCCCUGCUAUCCCCGCCAGAAGAGGGGCCUGAGCAGCCCACUCUGCCUCCAAGACUGCCCUCUGGGGACAGCUGCCGUGCACAGAGGGAUGCCAGCGCCCCCCACCCAAGCCUGCAGCUGAUCCCACCACACUCAAAGACCUUCACCCUCCUCACCAGCCCCACCGCCCCCCCGCCAGGUCGGACUGCAGAUAGAGCUGAGGGGGUCUGGGUGAGGGCGCAGGAAGUAGGCUGCCUGCAGGAUGAGGGAUAGAGAGCUCCUGGCCUCCAGCCUCAGCGCCCCAGCCCUCUGGCUCCGGUCCCCAGCAAGGGCCCAGGCUUUCACAAGACUUUCAAGGGCCGCCCACCUACCGGGCACGAUCUUCAUCGGGGACAGUGACAGAACCCCACGGGGCAGACAGAGCCGGCCAGGGGUGUGGGAGGUCACGGGCCCCUCAGAGGCACAGGCCGAGGCGGCAGCGUCGGGUGGGAGGAGGGCCCGGCUGUGCUGCUCUGAGCAGCAGCGCGUGGGGGAGGGGAGUGGUGGGCAGGGGCCCAGGGGAUAUAAAUAUCCAAGGAGGGCUCAAGAGGACGGUCACCACCCAGACUUAGAACAUGACGCACAGCGCGAGGGCACCUAGGCCCUGCGGCAGUAGGGUCUGGCUGGGCAGUGCCACCUGACACCUCGGUCCCCCAACUCCCGCAGGGGUUCUAAUGGAACAGGGCAUGGGGGGUGGGGGGUGGGGGGCGUGGACUCAUGUCCCUGCAGUCCCUGCCCACCUGGGGGGUGCUCUUGGAAAGGCCACGAAGGCCAAGAGGAGAGGCCGCCCGUUUUCCCAGAGGGCCCUGCGCAGGUCACUCAAGGCAGCACCUGGCCCCACCGGUGGCCGGGACAGCUGCCCCAAGGUCACGCACAGGCCUGGGACCCAGGCAGCCCGAAAUCAGGGCUCUAGCCACCCAGGCAAGUGCCUGCCCCACAGUACAGGGGGCGCCUCCAGCCUCAGGCCUCUCCUGGGGUCCUGGGGGAUCUGGGAUGGGGUCACCCCUCCUGGGCCUGGCUCCAGCCAGGAGCCCCGAAGCCCUGCUCUGUGGAAGGCCCGGGUCAGAGGGUUCGGCCACAGGCAGGCCCAUAGCAUACAUAUCCUGUAGUGCAGCUGGGGAAACAGGAUGUGGGGUGCACACAGUUCCACUCCUCUCACCCAGGACCCUCCUCUGCUGGGUACACCCCUCAGGCCCAGCAGAACACACGUUGGCAGUUCCACUGCUCCUGGCACCACGUGGAAUCCUAAGCGAGCACCAUGAAGUCCUGUACCACGAAUGCGUCAUACAGAUGAGGAACCUGAGGCCCCACCCAACGUCCCACAUACUGCCAUCUGAGCCCAGGUGGCCCCCAGUGUAGUCACCUCAGCCCACAGCAAGGCACAGUGAACCAGCCUGGCCCUGGCCACUGGGCAGGGCACCCUGGUCCAUGCUGGGGAGCUCAAGGACAGCAAGACGGCUGGGGCCAAGUGGGCCCACCCCAGCCUCCUGCUCUCCAGCCCCACACUUCCAAAGGUGCUGCUGAGGGAAAUGCCUGCAGGGGCCUGCUCUGGGCGGCCAGGGGUUGGGUGUGCCCAGGCAGCCCUGAGGGUCAGGGACACCCGCUGCCCCAAAGGCAUGCCAGAGAGGGCCCAAAUCCCAGCUGAGCCCAGGACGGCAUCCGGCCAGCAGUGGGCAGGGGCCAGCAGGCCGGACGUUUCAGCCCACCCCCUGCCUCAGGCCAGGGAAGUCUCCGAGGAGCCUGUGACUCAACAGCCUGGGUGAGAACCAGCUCCUGGAGGCAGGAGUGCCCCAGGCUGGCAGGGGGCAGUUCCUCUACCACUCCACUGAGCCAGGACAGGGCCCGUAGUCCAGGACACAUCAUACAUGCUCCUGGGAUACCUCCGAGAGGGGGCCGUGCCUAUCCCUGCAUCCCAGAUGUUGGCGUCUCAGAACUGUGGGCAGCGGGAAGAGACAGGUCUGCCAGGGGCAGCCCCGGCCCCCUCGUGGCCCUGGUCCCUGGCUCCCCUCCUCUGCCUCCCACAGCCUCCAGCUCUGCCUGCCCUACCUUGGCCCAGCUGAAUCAGCUCCUCCAUGCUGUACCUGUCCAUGGCUGCUGCACACGCCAGGCUGCUCCUGGAGCCGGCAGGGAGGAAGGCCAGGCAGGAAGGAGGGAAGGGGUGGGAGGCAGAGGGAGGGCCAGGCCCACCCGUGCCCUGGGAACAGCGGCUCCUCCUCACAGCCACCCCUUAGUCAGUUCACGGAGCUGAAGCCCAGCAGACUGACGGGUCAGACCAGCCCAGCAGACCCGCCUGGGGGUGCAGGGGACUGGCCUGCCUGCAAUCCCAGAGAGCCCUCUGGCCCCAGCCCAUGGGUCUUCCCUACUGUGCCUUGCCCCGCCCAGCAGACCCCACCCUGCAGCCUCCCCUUCCCGCUGCAGGCCCCACCAGCCCAGCCUGCCACCCCGCCCACCCUCCCACCCACAUUCCAGGCAUCCAUGUGCCCAGCGGCAAUUUGUGAGCCACGAGGGAGCAGAGCCCCAACUGUCCACCCCACCCCACUCAUUGAGACCCACAUUCCUCAGCCCCUAGAGCUGCUUCCCACCGGAACGAGCAGGGGCCGGCGGUCCCUUCCUCUACCUGAGUCCUCCCAGGCAUCGUGUCCAGGGGCGACCGUCUCCACACUUCCACCUAGCUGCUUGUGGACCAAUGAAGUGCAAAUCAAAUCCCGCCAUAACUCCACUUAGAAACCUGCCUGCGAUCGACAGAAAUCCCACAAACAGGUGACUCAGCCAAGCCAGUGAUACAUGUGGAGAUACCUGCAGAGAGCUGGCGAGGCCACAGUCCGCCUCCACCCAGGAUACCACGCGGCUGUGAAGAAGGGCAAGGCAGCCAGGCCACCUCCAGGAGCCCCCCUUGAUGCAGGGCUACAGAGGGUCAAGUGGGGAGGUCGAGGCACAGGCCAGCCUCCUCCAUGGGGAGGGGAAGUGGUGGCAGCUCCGCCGGCCCCUGCUCGUUCCUGUGGGAAGCAGCUCUAGGUGCCAUGGGUGAACAGUGCUCAGCUGGUGUACCCUCCACACAAUCCUGGGUUCCUUCUGCAUUUUGAGCCAGGCAAAGCAUCACUAUUUGAAUGUAAAUUAUGGCUGGGCACUGUAGCUGUAAUCCCAGCACUCUGGGGGGCCAAGGCAGGUGGAUCACCUGAGGUCAAGAGUUCGAGACCAGCCUAACAACAUGGAAAAACCCUAUCUCUAAUAAAAAAUACAAAAUGAGCCAGGCAUGGUAGGACAUGCCUGUAAUCCCAGCUCCUCGGGAGGCCAAGUCAGGAGAAUCGCUUGAACCCGGGAGGCGGAGGUUGCAGUGAGACAAGACUGCGCUCCAGCCUGGGCAACAGAGCAGGACUCCAUCUCAAAAAAAUAAAUGAAAUAAAAUAAAACUGAAAUGUAAAUGAAA